rnacentral:rRNA from 1 species
GCAAACGUUGUUCGGAAUUACUGGGCGUAAAGCGCGUGUAGGCGGCUCGGAAAGUCGGGUGUGAAAGCCCUGGGCUUAACCCAGGAAGUGCACUCGAAACUUCCGAGCUGGAGUCCUGGAGAGGAAGGCGGAAUUCUCGGUGUAGAGGUGAAAUUCGUAGAUAUCGAGAGGAACACCGGUGGCGAAGGCGGCCUUCUGGACAGUGACUGACGCUGAGACGCGAAAGCGUGGGGAGCAAACAGG